UACCACUUGCUAGGGCAAGAGGGUGCUGCAGGCCUGAGUCCUCCUUGGCCUGAAAAGGAAUUUGAAUUUAGGGGUCUCAACUUCUGCUCUGUGCACCUCCUAGUUACAUAAAUGGGGGGAGAAGGAUGUAACCUGAAUUGAAUGUAACCUGACUGAAUGUCAGUAACCUGAAUUUUUGGAGUGUGUACUUCUUCGUGAGAAGCCUUCUUCAAGCAUGCCUUGUCUUUUCUGGGAUUCAAGAGACUGGUGUCCAGUUUGACUGCCCUCCUUGGUAUGAGGGUUGAAGUAUUGUCCAAAGCUCACAGAGGACCAAAAGCAAGAUAUAAACUGGGAAUAAACAGGGAUUUUGAAAAGAACCAAACAGGGGAAGUGGACAUUAAAAGCCUGGCUGAAUUUCCCACAUUUGUUGGAAGAGAAUAUUGAACAACCACAGGAACCUAGGCUGAGGAGGAAGAAGAUAUAGGACCUAUAAAACAUAGUUAAUGUCCAUGGAAAAAGAAAGAAAUGUGAAGGCAAGUGACUGAUGAAGUUUCUUGGGUAUUAACAGAGGAUGAUUCAGCAUGGAGAAGAGCAGCCAGGCUGAGCAGUUAUUUGCUGCUCUGAGCUGCCCCCAGGAAUUUUCCUCUUUGUCACCAUGCUGAAAAUUAUGAAAAAGCUGACCGAGGGAGUGAACUGAAGGGAAGAAACCUUCACAACCAGAACAUCACGUGUGCACUCCCAGGGACAGGGCACAGACACAGGUGCAGAUGCAGAUCUCCUCUUUCCUGUGCUGUGAUGUGGAAGCCCACCUCUAGAGACAGGAGGGUGUGGAAGGAUCCCAGCUGUGCAGCCCCUCAAACGUGGCCAGCUGGCCAGGGCUCAGUCCUGAUGGCUGAGCUGCAGAGCAGGUAUGAAGCUGAAGCGCUGUGAAGCCGCACAAGCGCCUGCUAUUCCGUAAUGCUGGGCCUGCCUGAGGGCAUGGAGAGCAAAAUGCUUUCCUAACAAAUUGCUUCACUGAGGUCUUAAACUGGAGACCGGCAAGGAUCCAAUAUACGUAGAGAAAACAUGCCAAAUACAAGCUGAAUUAUAAGAAACAAGGGGCUGGAUCUCCUCUAAUCUGCAGUAUAUUAGAUCUGAGGGGGCCACGCAGCACUGAUGUGGUAGAAGUCUCUUGACUUCUCCACAAGGACUAGUCUGAUCCAUGCAUCAUUCCUGGAGGAGAAAAAGCUGCACUCCCUCUUGCUGCUGCAAAACAGAUGAAUCCAGGAUUUCCUGGUCAGGAAGGACCAGGCAUUCUCCAAGACAAGCAGAAAUCUGUGGGCAUGCCUAAAAGCCAAAUCAGUGGUGAGCUUUCCCCAGUCGUCUCCUGGGUUCUUUAAGUUUGUUGUUCUGUAUGAAAAUACACUGCAAUUAACUGGACUGACUGCCCAAACAUCUACUGGCUGUUGGAGUGCUUGCAGACUUUCCCAAAUAAAAGCCACGAUCUGCUUCUGAAUCGUUCAGUGAUUUGCACUGUAUUUACGAACUCAGAUGAAUGCCUCUAGUCUAUCCUUUCCAUUAAGUCACUCUUGGCUUUUAUACAUAGCUGAGUCUUGCAACAGACCUUACUCUUAAUCAGCAUUGACUGGAGCUGCUCAGGAUAUUUUAGCUGAAGUGAAUUUUCCCUCAAAAGAUGUCAUUUUGAGUCCUUUUCUUUUUUUCACUAUCAGUAGUGAUGGUGACUUUUCUCACCAAUAUUUCUAACACUUCUAUUUCCACAGGAAAAGAAAAAAAAAUCAGUAAUCUUUCCUGUCUGAGUUAUUUGCUGACAUUCCUGUGUCAUUCAAUCUUCUAACUGGCAUGUCAUAACCUAUUGUAGAAGUGUUGCGGCAGUUGAUACGUUCUGGGAUGAAAAUGAAGGAUGUGUGUGGGGAGAUGAAGCAAAUGGGAAAGUGGACACAAGCACACAGUCCCUUCACCAAGUGAGAUGAUACAUGACAUAAUGGACAGCAUAGAAUGUGAUAGUUAUGUUAUAAUACCUGCUAUAAUAGCCGUGGGAAAAAUAUAUUUUUAUUUUUAAAUUUUAUUUUAUUCUUAAACAAAUAAGGGCAGCUGUUACUCCGCAAUGAUUGAAACUUCCUGUCUUCUCUGGUUUAUGUCUUCUACCAGUGUUAGUAUAUUUUAGCAUUUGGAACAAAAAGCGCUCAUAAACUGUGUGAGCAGCUAUUGUUUAAAAUAUUUUAAAAUGAUUCCCAGUGAAGACUAGAAUGGCUGUGUCUCAAGAAAUGAUGUAAAAAUAAUAAAAGUAACAUAAGAAUAAAUAUAUAGGAGAACAUUCAAUUUUUUCCUUAAAAGGGGAUUUUUCUUUUUUUCUUUUUCCUGAAUGCAUAGCUCACUGAAAAAAGCAGUAAGUCUUUUUUUUUUUUUUUUUUUUUUUCCCCACUCUAGUCUAAGUGAAAAAAGAUUUUCAAAGAUUUUCAAAUUUGGAAAUGAUGAGAAAACUAAUAACUGUACCUAUCUAUAGAAGUGCCAUGGAAAUGCAAUGUUUUGUUGGCACUUGAUGACUGCUGUCCUGUGUAUAGAUUCAAAGGAGUGUUGUGGCUCCCAGGCUGAAGUAGACCAAGGCUGCUGUUCUUGAGUUUUUCUUUCACCAGUAAUAGCCAGCACCUAGUUUUCCUUCAGUCAUUAAGGCUCAUCUUUGACCUUCUUUCUUUAGGACUGAGGGUUCCUUUCAAAAUGUAUGUUGUCAAUACCCACUGCUAGUUUAGGUACUACUGUUAUCUCCAUAAAUGUCUGCUCUCUUUCUCCGUUCUCUCCCUCAGUGAUAUUGUCUAGAAAUAAAUUCCACUAUGCAAAAAUAAAAUUCAAAGGGAAAGCA